GAUGAAGAACGUAGCGAAAUGCGAUAAGUAGUGUGAAUUGCAGAAUUCAGUGAAUCAUCGAAUCUUUGAACGCACAUUGCGCCCCUUGGUAUUCCAUGGGACAUGCCUGUUCGAGCGUCAUUUGUACCUUCAAGCUCUGCUUGGUGUUGGGUGUUUGUCUCGCCUCUGCGUGUAGACUCGCCUCAAAACAAUUGGCAGCCGGCGUAUUGAUUUCGGAGCGCAGUACAUCUCGCGCUUUGCACUCAUAACGACGACGUCCAAAAGUACAUUUUUACACUCUUGACCUCGGAUCAGGUAGGGAUACCCGCUGAACUUAAGCAUAUCAAUAGCGGAGGA
rnacentral:misc_RNA from 1 species